GGAUUCCCCUAGUAACGGCGAGUGAAGCGGGAAGAGCUCAAAUUUAAAAUCUGGCAGGCUACGCUUGUCCGAAUUGUAAUCUCGAGAAGUGUUUUCCGCGUUGGCCUGUGUACAAGUCCCUUGGAACAGGGCGUCAUAGAGGGUGAGAAUCCCGUCCUUGACACAGACACCCAAUGCUUUGUGAUACACUCUCAAUGAGUCGAGUUGUUUGGGAAUGCAGCUCAAAAUGGGUGGUAAAUUCCAUCUAAAGCUAAAUACUGGCGAGAGACCGAUAGCGAACAAGUACCGUGAGGGAAAGAUGAAAAGCACUUUGGAAAGAGAGUCAAACAGUACGUGAAAUUGUUGAAAGGGAAACGAUUGAAGUCAGUCGUGCCUGCCUAGAUUCAGCCUUCUGGUGUAUUUCUAGGUCGGCAGGUCAGCAUCAGUUUGGGGGGGUUAACAAGGGAGCUGGGAAUGUGGCAACCUCGGUUGUGUUAUAGCCCAGUUUCGCAUUGAUCUCGCUGGACUGAGGAACGCAGUGCGCCCGCAAGGGUUGGUCUUCGGACACAUUCGCACUUAGGAUGCUGGCAUAAUGGCUUUAAACGACCCGUU
rnacentral:rRNA from 1 species